UACGUAGUCUGCUGCAUGCAGGAAGACCC
rnacentral:rRNA from 1 species